AUUGAACGCUGGCGGCAGGCUUAACACAUGCAAGUCGAGCGAGCGGCGGACGGGUGAGUAAUGUCUGGGAAACUGCCUGAUGGAGGGGGAUAACUCCUGGAAACGGUAGCUAAUACCGCAUACCAUACGAUGUGCCCAGAUGGGAUUAGCUAGGAGGUGGGGUAAUGGCUCACCUAGGCGACGAUCCCUAGAUGGUCUGAGAGGAUGACCAGCCACACGGUAACUGAGACACGGUCCAGACUCAUACGGGAGGCAGCAGUGGGGAAUAUUGCACAAUGGGCGCAAGCCGGAUGCAGCCAUGCCGCGUGUGUGAAGAAGGCCUUCGGGUUGUAAAGCACUGUCAGCGAGGAGGCGUUACUCGCAGAAGAAGCACCGGCUAACUCCGUGCCAGCAGCCGCGGUAAUUC
rnacentral:rRNA from 1 species